rnacentral:rRNA from 1 species
CCUACGGGGGGCAGCAGUGGGGGAUAUUGCACAAUGGGGGGAACCCUGAUGCAGCGACGCCGCGUGGGUGAAGGAGUAUUUCGGUAUGUAAAGCCCUAUCGGCAGGGAAGAAGCAAGACGGUACCUGACUAAGAAGCCCCGGCUAACUACGUGCCAGCAGCCGCGGUAAUACGUAGGGGGCGAGCGUUAUCCGGAUUCACUGGGUGUAAAGGGAGCGUAGACGGCCAUGCAAGCCAGGGGUGAAAGCCCGGGGCCCAACCCCGGGACUGCCCUUGGAACUGCAUGGCUGGAGUGCGGGAGGGGCAGGCGGAAUGCCUGGUGUAGCGGGGAAAUGCGUAGAUAUCAGGAGGAACACCGGCGGCGAAGGCGGCCUGCUGGACCGCGACUGACGUUGAGGCUCGAAAGCGUGGGGAGCGAACAGGAUUAGAUACCCCUGUAGUC